rnacentral:rRNA from 1 species
UUCGCCCUUAGAGUUUGAUCCUGGCUCAGGACGAACGCUGGCGGCGCGCCUAACACAUGCAAGUCGAACGAGCGAGAGAGAGCUUGCUUUCUCAAGCGAGUGGCGAACGGGUGAGUAACGCGUGAGGAACCUGCCUCAAAGAGGGGGACAACAGUUGGAAACGACUGCUAAUACCGCAUAAGCCCACGACCCGGCAUCGGGUAGAGGGAAAAGGAGCAAUCCGCUUUGAGAUGGCCUCGCGUCCGAUUAGCUAGUUGGUGAGGUAACGGCCCACCAAGGCGACGAUCGGUAGCCGGACUGAGAGGUUGAACGGCCACAUUGGGACUGAGACACGGCCCAGACUCCUACGGGAGGCAGCAGUGGGGAAUAUUGCACAAUGGGGGAAACCCUGAUGCAGCGACGCCGCGUGGAGGAAGAAGGUCUUCGGAUUGUAAACUCCUGUUGUUGAGGAAGAUAAUGACGGUACUCAACAAGGAAGUGACGGCUAACUACGUGCCAGCAGCCGCGGUAAAACGUAGGUCACAAGCGUUGUCCGGAAUUACUGGGUGUAAAGGGAGCGCAGGCGGGAAGACAAGUUGGAAGUGAAAUCCAUGGGUUCAACCCAUGAACUGCUUUCAAAACUGUUUUUCUUGAGUAGUGCAGAGGUAGGCGGAAUUCCCCGGUGUAGCGGUGGAAUGCGUAGAUAUCGGGAGGGAACACCAGUGGCGAAGGCGGCCUACUGGGCACCAACUGACGCUGAGGCUCGAAAGUGUGGGUAGCAAACAGGAUUAGAUACCCUGGUAGUCCACACUGUAAACGAUGAUUACUAGGUGUUGGAGGAUUGACCCCUUCAGUGCCGCAGUUAACACAAUAAGUAAUCCACCUGGGGAGUACGACCGCAAGGUUGAAACUCAAAGGAAUUGACGGGGGCCCGCACAAGCAGUGGAGUAUGUGGUUUAAUUCGACGCAACGCGAAGAACCUUACCAAGUCUUGACAUCCUGCGACGGUGCUGGAAACAGUACUUUCCUUCGGGACGCAGAGACAGGUGGUGCAUGGUUGUCGUCAGCUCGUGUCGUGAGAUGUUGGGUUAAGUCCCGCAACGAGCGCAACCCUUAUGGUCAGUUACUACGCAAGAGGACUCUGGCCAGACUGCCGUUGACAAAACGGAGGAAGGUGGGGAUGACGUCAAAUCAUCAUGCCCUUUAUGACUUGGGCUACACACGUACUACAAUGGCGUUAAACAAAGAGAAGCAAGACCGCGAGGUGGAGCAAAACUCAGAAACAACGUCCCAGUUCGGACUGCAGGCUGCAACUCGCCUGCACGAAGUCGGAAUUGCUAGUAAUCGCAGAUCAGCAUGCUGCGGUGAAUACGUUCCCGGGCCUUGCACACACCGCCCGUCA